UCAAGGCAGGACCUGUGUCAUUUUUCCCGCCGUGACGUUUACGUGCGUUCGUGUCGUAAAGCGGUGAUUUGUACGGCGACCAAAUACAUUUGAUACUAUGCCGAGAGGCUGUUUCGAGUCGGCCGGCCGAGCAGAAAUUGAAAUGAUGAAUUUUAAUUUCUUUGACGGAUCUGGGUGUAACUAUGUAUAAUAUCUCUGUCUGAUAAUGGAUCUGGAGGAGAUGCAAUGGCCACCUCCGUAAUAAAACAAUAGAACCCUAUGGAGUUUGGGCUUGUGUGAUUCGCCUUGACGAAUAUUUCGUAUCCAGGGUCCGAUGAUGGAGCUGUAAGGGGGCAGAUUUUUUUUUUCACUAUGUGACUGUCUUUAUUUUGUACUUAAUAUAUUUUACAUAUUAUACC